CAAAGGCUCUGUUAUAAAGAACUUCAUUUAUGUGUAUGUGUGUGUAUCUAUAAGAAUCCAUGUGCACUGUAUCUAUGCAGGUGCCUAUGGAGGCCAGAAAAUGCAUUGGAUUCUCUGGAACUGGAGUUAUAGAUGGCUGUAAGCUUCCAUGUCGGUGCUGGGAACUGAACCUGGGUCCUCUGCAAGAGGACAAAAGUGCUCUAAACCACUGAGACAUCUGUCCAGCCCCCGCAAAGGCUCUUUUUAAAGAAAUUACACAGGAUUAUAGAAUCCCAACCCAAGUAUGUAAUAUACUUUGAGCAUAUUCCCAUCAUUCCCUGCUGCCCUCCUUCCAAUCCCCACCCUUCAUUUACUCCCCUUUAUUCUCCAGUUUUGAUGCUUUUCUCAUGUUAUCUAUACAUCUGUCAUUUUAUACAUUAUUAUGUAUAGGGCUUACAAAUGAGAGAAAACAUGUGGUAUUUGUUUCUCUGAGACUGGCUUAAUUUGCUCUAUAUAAUUGUCAGCAUGUAUCCAUUUUCCUGAAAAUGCUAACAUUCUUCUUUAUGCCUGGAAAGUUCUACUAUGUGGAACAUAGAACACAUAUUCCUUUUUUGAGACAUGAUUUGACUUUGUAGCCUUAGCUAGCCUAGAACCCACUAUGUAAACCAGGCUGUUCUUGAACUCACAGAGUUCCACCUGCUGUGGCCUCCCGAGUGUUGGGAUUAAAAACGUGCGCCAGCAUACCUGGCCCUGGAACACAUUUUCUGUCCCUUCCCUUGCUUGCUGGUCACCUGCUGCUGCAGUAAAUAUUGAAGUAAAAGUAUCUCCUUGACGUGCUGAUUCGGUGUCUUUUGCAAAUACCCAGGCGUGGUAUGGCUGGGUCAUACAGAAGUCAGACCAGAAGUCAUCCAGCAGGCCUACUCUUAGGCUGAUGAGGAACCUCCACACCAAUUUCCAGCAGGCCUACUCUUAGGCCGAUGUGGAACCUUCACACCGAUUUCCAUACUUGGCUCAGCUAGUUUACAGCCCACCAGCAGCGGCUACAGGUUCACUUUCUCUCAGAACUCUUGCCAGCAUUUGCUGCCACUUCAUUUAUGGAUGGCUGUCAUUCUCCUCGGGUUCGAAGUGGUGUCAAACCCCAAGUCUGGUCCAGAAGUGGGUGUGUGGUAAGGGUCUCCUCAACGGUUCCAGAAUGGACUUGCCACUCAACAGGCCAGCCAGAGUCGCCUGGGGAGUUCUGCUAGAGCCCAAGAAGGAAGGAAUUAUGUCCAUCCCGAGGACAGCAGCUCUUUAAUGCAUGGACAACUGUGUUGAUGAUGCAUUCAGUUUCGGAGAAUUUUCCAAUGGAAAAAAGUGCUCUGGAGAAGUUUAAGCGCCAUGAAUCACCCAAACCUCAUCUAAGUCUCGUGAAGGCACGGGCUGUGGAAGGCAGUCACAGGGAGAAGACGUAUUGCAGUUGUGCCGCCUGAUUCAACUAAAUAGAAAAAUAUUUUGUAAAGACACGAGGAUUUCAGGCUGCUGGCAGAGUGCUAAGGAUAAAUGCCACAUUCCGUCAGAAAGGCAAAAAACGCGGGACCUGCUGAUCGCCCCCGCCCCCUUCCAGGAGCAGACCCAGAAGCCCAGCUUCCUUCAGUAUGCAAAAGGCAAACGCCUCGUCUCGGGGUCACAGGAAAGCACCAGGAACGCAGCAGCCUUUUCGUGCUAAUUAUUUCCAAACGAUACCAGGCAUCCGAAAUGGUUUGAUGAGGCGAGGAAGUCUAUACAUUUUCCCUGUGUGAUGGAGGUAGAUCGCGCAGCACGGUGACACUUACAGCAGGCGGUGCUGCACACACCUGCUGUGGGAGGAGUUGGACCUCUCUGUCCUGUCUGAGGAGCACAGGAGCAGGGCGCGGGAGAGCGUUCCCAUGUACCCCUUUAAGGCAGUGCUAGCUCUGAGGAGAACUCGUAUUUUAUUUCAGCUGUGGAAUGCAGUCAGUGUGUCUGUUGCCUGGGCCACCUCUUCCAUCGUCACUUGAUAGUGCCUUGAACACAGUCUCUUUGAAAACUUGGAGUCUUUCCCUUCUCCUGUCUCCUAAUCCCUGCUCUACAGGCUCGGACAUUCCAGCCCAGUUGGAAGGGUGCACUAGCGACCUUCUGUAACUGGGAAUCCACUUGCCAGCAGAGGGAAGACGGAGACCUUAGCUUUACAUGUCAGCUUUCUCGUUGGUUUCCACUUCAAAGAAAACUACAGUAUGGUUUACAUGACAGGUUGGUUCCCCGAGGCUUCACUUGCAGGGACAUCCCCACCCCCACCUUCACUGACUUCUUCUCCUCCCUAUCACCUUUAUGGAAACAACCAUCAACACGCUUUUUUAAGGUGACCAGAACCUGCACGGAGUUUGAUUCUGAAACGCACCAGCAGGCUUGUGUGUUGAGGACUUGAUCCUCCUUUGGUGAGCUACUUUGGGGAAGUUUUGGAAACCUGGGAGAGUCAGAGCCUCCACCUAGGAUGUAGGUCACUGGAGGCUGCCUCUGAUAGCUAGUCCAAGUCCCCAGUGACCACCGCCUGUCUCUCUGCUUCUGGUCUGUGAAGUGGGUCUAUUCCACGGUACACCUCCACUGCUAUGAUGGUCGGCGUCCUCACAGUCCCGGAAGUAAUGAAAAUGAACUGUGGUCGGAAAAUCCUUUAACUGUGAGCCAAUGUCAACCUUUGCCCUUCAAGCUGCUCUCUUGGGGGUUCCGUCACAGCUGGGAGAGAAGAACGCAGAGGACAGGGCUGGGCACCAGCUCUCUGGGCAGGCUGCACUUGGCUUUUGAAGUCCGUGUGGAGUGAGGCUUUGUCUCCUUGGUCACCUGACUAUGGGGCUCAGAGCCACCGGAGCAGCUCACGAGUAGAGGCAGCACACUUUCCUCCCUCAGCUCAGCAAUUCCAUGGGGUCCUCUUUUUGCAGAGAGCAGCUUACAUUUUCAAAAUCCUACUUUCUCAGUUUAUAUCUAAACCUUUAUUUGUAAAAGCCGCAUAAACAUGACAUUGUCUUAGAGCAACCAUCCUCAACCUGUGGUUUGCGACCCCUUGGAAAACCUCUAUCUCCAAAAAUACCUAAACUACAAUUCGUAAUAGUAACAAAAUUACAGUUAUAAAGGAGCGACGAAAAUAAUUUCAUUUUAAGGGGUCACCACAAUAUGAGGAACUGUAUUAAAGGGUCAUAGCAUUAGGAAGGUUGAGAACCACUGCUCUAGAGGACGAUGCUAAUUUUGGUUGACAACUUGACUUUAUAUAUAUACAUAUAUAUGUAUAUGUACAAGCACACAUACAUAUAAAUUCAUUCCAACAGUCUGUUCCUUUAGGGAGCAGAUCUCCAGUCUGGCUCUAGGUAGUCAUUGCCAGUGAAAUGAAGUCUUGCAUGUGAUACUUAGGGUCCUAGGCUCCUAGGCAUAUGUGGACUCACCAUUAAGCCAAUUCUAAAGGGGACAGAGAGAUGGAAACAUCAGUCCAGUACAUCCCCCAUUGAAUAGGGAUUGAAGGCUGUGGAUGUGGUCAAUAAAAACAAUGGUGGCAGCUUCUCACGGUUUCUCCACCCAAACCGUUUCCUGGAAUGUCUCUUUAGCACCAAAGAGAGAUGUGACAAUACUGCAUACCACAUGUACAGAUUUAUUUUCAGUUAAAAAGCUUUCUCUCCAUGCAAACCCUUUGCUAUUCUCUUUGGGUUGCACAGCCAGCGUGUCCCAACUGUGAAGUGACUUAACACAUGAUGAUUUGAUUAUACAGCUUUAUUUACUGCUUUGUGUAUAUUUAGAUAAGUACAGCAUUUCCUCUACAACCCCACUGUAUGUCUAGGGCAGUGGUUCUCAAUUUGUGGAUCUUGACUUCUUUGGGGGUCGAAUGAUCCCUUCCUAGGUGUCACCCAAGACUAUCACAAACACAGAUGUUUACAUUAUGAUUCAUAACAGUGGCCAAAUCACAGUUAUGAAGUAGCAAUGAAAAUAAUGUUUUGGUUGGGGGCCACCACAGCGUGACCUGUAUUAAAGCGGCCCAGCGUUGGGAAGGUUGAGAAGCACUGCUUUAGGGUGUCUCAUGCCCUGCCCUCAGUGGGCUGUCACUGACAGUGGCCUGCCUCCCAGCUGCAACACAAGCAGUGAAAAUUCAGUUGUUCUCUGUUGAUGGUUUGGUUCUUAAACAUACGCUAGUUUAUUCAGGCACAAUGGCACAUGCCUGUAACACCAGCUCGAGAGGUGGAGGCAGAAAGAUCAGGGCUUCAAGGCUAGCCUCUGCUACAUGCCAAGGUCAAACUAGCCUAAGCUACUUGUGAUCUUACUUCAGCAGCAGCAACAACAACGAUAACAACACAAAAAUGAAACCACUAGUUCAAUAAAUUAUUGAAUGGUGCAACCAGAAAAAUGGUAAUGGAGGGAAUGGAUACAGAGGAACAGACAGGUAGAGCUGUUCUGGGAAAUGCCAGAACUAGCUCCACAAGAGGGUCCGGGUUCAAUUUCUAGUCACACUACUGAGCAGCUAUGAGUCUCGAGCAAGUUUUCUCCUCUCUAAGGUCCCCAGCGCCUCUUGUGGGGUAUGGGUCAUCUUCUCACUUCUCACAGUGUAGCUAUGAAACCAAGUUAUUCAGAUGGCACCCAUGAUAAUCCUUCAUAAAUCAUAAAGUGCACUGUGAGUGAUGUUGGUACAGAGGUCACAACUGCUGUGUUCUUGGUCUAAUGAUCCUUAGAGUCUCAGCAUGUCCCAAAAGAGGUUCUUAUAUUUAAUAAGAACUUGAGAAGAUUCAAAGAUGGUUUCUUUCUAUGGCUUUCUGGAUUCCUCCUUAGGAAUAUCCCUUCUGUCUUAUUUCUAAAACAGUGAAAUUUACAGUAAUUUGUUAUGGUCUCAGAUCACCAGUGAACUGUAUCCGAAAACAAAGCAGCACUAAUAGAUUCUUCUUAGUCACCAUAACUGUUUUAGAGAUUACCACCAACCCCAAAUAAGACGAUCUCAAACCUCUGCUUUUGGGGAAAACACAAGUAGGUGAACAAGAACCUUUGUGUCAACCAAUCAAUAUAUUUGAUGUGGGUUUUUGUUAUUUAAUGUUGUAAGUUCAUUAACACUAAACUCAUGGCCAACAUCAUUGCCUCUUGUCCCCGCGUGAGGCUUAGCCAACCCAUCUGUUUCCUACAUCAGGGCCAGCACAGCCUCUGUGUGCACAGGGACAUCAGGGAAAACACUUUGCACUGUGCUUGAGGCCCAUUUUAAGCAUCACAACAAAAACCACAAAGUGCCCAAAGUGGCAAGAGUACAAGUGAAAGGAGACUUGUGCAGUAGACCUUGUGUAAGAAGGCACUGUCACCUGGCUCAGCCCCAGCUGAAGGUGUGGAUGCUGAGCCACUGUUUUGUGUGCAAGGGAAGGCCAGAGGACCACAUGAAUGCCGUUGCUGUCCAGACAUGUUUGUUUUUGUGUUUUUUUUUUGUUGUUGUUGUUUAUUUUGUCACGAGGUCUCUCAUUGGACUAGCACUUGCCAAAGAAACUAGUGAGCCCCAUGAUUCUUCCUGCCUCUGCCUCCCCAGUGCUGGGAUUUCUAGUACAUGCCACCACAGCUGACUGUUAUAUGUGGGUUCUGGAAACUGCACACAGGUCCUCAUGCCUUCCACUUUACCCACUGAGUCACCUCCCCAGGCCUAAUACUCUGUAUCUUUGCAAAUAGCCAAAAACGCGCUGUGAGCUCUGGCUGUAGGUUUAGAGUAUAUGCAAAUUUGCAAAGAUGGAAUCUGCAAAUCAGAAGGACUGACUACACCUCUGAAGGACAGAGCUAGGAGUGAUGGUGGGAAAUAUGGUCACAGUCUGUAAUCUGACUUUAAGAAGGAAGCAUUUCUUACAGUUCUAACCAUGUAGCAAGAGAGUCUUUGCAUGCUUUGUAGACAGCAUAUGGCUUGGAUUGAUGCUGGCAAAGGUACAUAUCGAAAGAGGGGCCACAACCUAGGAGUCGAGUAAGUGACGACUGGAGAGGAACGCCAAAGACAGCCACGAGUUAUUGAUCAUUCUCUAAAAUCUCCACUCUCUUCUGCCUAAAAUAGAAUUUCAACCAAGCCAAUAUCCAGCACCAUAAAACCUAAAAAGCAGGGCUCGUUUAAAUGAGAGCGCGUGCGUGAGUGUCCUUUGCUCUUGCCAGUGCUGGACCUCAGAGACCCCAAGCAUCUCUUAGCCGCUGUGUAUCAGUGAAGAGAAGUAAGGUCAUUGAUCUGGAAGAGUUGGUUCCUUGGUAAGUCACUGGAACAUCAAAGACAGAAGUUCUCUGGGAAGAAGUCCCUUUGAAAACUGUCUGACCAGAGCAGAAAGAAAAGCUGCCUCUCUGGGAAGGUCUGAGCAAUCUAGAAGGCUAAGUCCACAGAAAGCUCCCCUGUGUCUGUUUCCUGGUAGAGAACAAAGUGACCUCUAGGGGGACAAGUUGUUAAUAAUAAUAAUAAGGUAAUAGCAAUUGUUGUUAGUAAUAGUAUGAUAAUAACAAGACACAAUUAAAGAGCUGCAGAAUAAACUGCUUAGAUUUAAAUUGUGUUUUCCUUGUGUGUGUGUGUAUG